AACGAACGCUGGCGGCGCGCUUAACACAUGCAAGUCGAACGUGAAAGUCCUUCGGGAUGAGUAAAGUGGCGCACGGGUGAGUAAUGCGUGGAUAACCUGCCCCGGAAUCCGGGAUAACAUCACGAAAGAGGUGCUAAUACCGGAUAAGCUCACGACUCUUCGGAGCUGCGGGAAAAGGUGGCCUCUGUUUCAAGCUACCGUUUCCGGAUGGGUCCACGUCCUAUUAGCUGGGUGGCAGGGUAAAAGCCUACCAAGGCAACGAUGGGUAGCUGGUCUGAGAGGAUGAACGGCCACAAUGGAACGGAGAUACGGUCCAGACUCCUACGGGAUGCAGCAGUGGGGAAUUUUGCGCAAUGGGCGAAAGCUUGACGCAGAGACGCCGUGUGAGGGAUGAAGGCCUUCGGGUCGUAAAGCUCUGUCGGAGGGGAAGAAAUGUGAGAGUGCGAACAGUAUUUUCACUUGACGGUACCCUCAAAGGAAGCACCGGCUAACUCCGUGCCAGCAGCCGCCGUAAGAC
rnacentral:rRNA from 1 species